AGGGAAUCUUCCGCAAUGGACGAAAGUCUGACGGAGCAACGCCGCGUGAGUGAAGAAGGCCUUCGGGUCGUAAAACUCUGUUGUCAGGGAAGAACAAGUACCGUUCGAAUAGGGCGGUACCUUGACGGUACCUAACCAGAAAGCCACGGCUAACCACGUGCCAGCAGCCGCGGUAAUACGUAGGUGGCAAGCGUUGUCCGGAAUUAUUGGGCGUAAAGCGCGCGCAGGCGGUUUCUUAAGUCUGAUGGGAAAGCCCCCGGCUCAACCGGGGAGGGUCAUUGGAAACUGGGGAACUUGAGUGCAGAAGAGGAGAGUGGAAUUCCACGUGUAGCGGUGAAAUGCGUAGAGAUGUGGAGGAACACCAGUGGCGAAGGCGACUCUCUGGUCUGUAACUGACGCUGAGGCGCGAAAGCGUGGGGAGCGAAC
rnacentral:rRNA from 1 species